rnacentral:rRNA from 1 species
CAGCCGUAAACGAUGCGCGUUAGGUGUAUCGACGACCACGAGUCGUCGAGGUGCCGAAGGGAAACCGUGAAACGUGCCGCCUGGGAAGUACGGUCGCAAGGCUGAAACUUAAAGGAAUUGGCGGGGGAGCACCACAACAGGUGGAGCCUGCGGUUUAAUUGGAUUCAACACCGUAAAACUCACCAGGGAAGACUGUUACAUGAAGGCCGAGAUGAAGACUCUGCUAGAUUUUCAGAGAGGAGGUGCAUGGCGUCAGUGACU